UUGGACAUUUUCUUUACACAGUUCUUUUAUUAUUUCAUGCAUUUGAAAUACAAUCAAAAGUAGAACAUUCUAUCCAUUUCAUAACAUUGGAAUCAUAUCUAGCAUGUCAUAACAUUGUUUAAAACAUACCACAUUGGUUUCUAUAAUUUUAAAAAAACAAACAAAAAAAAUAAAACUAAAAUAGUAUAUAAGAAAACAAACAUUAAAAUAUAACAUAAAAUAAUUAUUUAAAAUCGUGGAGGACUUAACAUAGAUUAAAUACAUUAAUUGUUAUGCAAUUAAACUUUCUGAUUAUCAAAGUCUUACAUAUUCAAUAGUCCUCUUACAGCAGACUAACAUGCUCAUAUCAAUCAAUUU